rnacentral:rRNA from 1 species
AUUGAACGCUGGCGGCAGGCCUAACACAUGCAAGUCGAGCGGAGCGGCGGACGGGCGAGUAAUGCAUAGGAAUCUGCCUGGUAGUCGGGGAUAACGUCCGGAAACGGGCGCUAAUACCGCACACUAUCAGUUGAGCUUAGGUCGUAUUAGCUAGUUGGUGGGGUAAAGGCCUACCAAGGCGACGAACCAUAACUGGUCUGAGAGGAUGAUCAGUCAGACUGGAACGAAGACGCGGUCCAGACUCCUACGCAAGGCAGCAGUGAAGAAUAUUGGGCAAUGGGCGAGAGCCUGAUCCAGCCAUACCACAUGUGUGAAGAAGGUCUUCGAAUUGUAAAGCACUUUAAGUUUAAAGGCGUUACCAACAGAAUAAGCACCGGCUAACUUCGUGCCAGCAGCCGCGUUAAUUC